AUUUUCAUGAUAUCGGUAACUUCAAUGCAAAGGAAGCAGUAAAUUUAUGCCUAAAAGAAAGUCUUCAUGAUUCUUUAACGCCAUCCUUCACAUGGUGGGACCGUGAAGGAUAGUGGCCUUUUUAUAAAGCACGGCUUGUUAAGGCCAUUUAUGAUGCCGUGUGUAACAGCCGCUACUUUGAGAAGCCGACUCGGGCACAUUUUCAAUGUUACAUGAAAGAGGCUCUCCGGGCAGCAAAAGAAAGGAUACGGAGCAGUUUACGUAGUCCGCGCACGCAAAGCAUACGAGGAAAUAGAAAUCGCCGUGAUUUUUGGACCGAUGACAGAAUAGAGGAGGAGACAGAUUUACCGAACGAAAAUUAAAUUCUAACGAAGAAAACGGUUGCUGUCCACUCAGCUGACUGCCGAUUUGACUCUGGAAUGUAGUGAUGGAUCCAUGUUUCAUCCAUUGUCACAUACCGCAUCAAAAAAUCCUUUUUAUUGCGCUGAAACAGCUCCAAACACCCCGCUGAAUCAUCGACGCGUUGCUGUUUUUCAUUGACUGUGAGCAAACGCGGUACCCACUUCGAACCACUGUAACUUGUGAACUAAACGUCCGGUUGUCAUGAAAUUUUGACACGUA